UGAACGCUAGCGACAGGCUUAACACAUGCAAGUCGAGGGUCAGCAUGGUUUGUAGUAAUACAGAUUGAUGGCGACCGGCGCACGGGUGAGUAACGCGUAUGCAACUUACCUAUCAGAGGGGGAUAGCCCGGCGAAAGUCGGAUUAAUACCCCAUAAAACAGGGGUCCCGCAUGGGAAUAUUUGUUAAAGAUUCAUCGCUGAUAGAUAGGCAUGCGUUCCAUUAGGCAGUUGGCGGGGUAACGGCCCACCAAACCGACGAUGGAUAGGGGUUCUGAGAGGAAGGUCCCCCACAUUGGUACUGAGACACGGACCAAACUCCUACGGGAGGCAGCAGUGAGGAAUAUUGGUCAAUGGCCGAGAGGCUGAACCAGCCAAGUCGCGUGAAGGAAGAAGGAUCUAUGGUUUGUAAACUUCUUUUAUAGGGGAAUAAAGUGGAGGACGUGUCUUUUUUGUAUGUACCCUAUGAAUAAGCAUCGGCUAACUCCGUGCCAGCAGCCGCGGUAAUACGGAGGAUGCGAGCGUUAUCCGGAUUUAUUGGGUUUAAAGGGUGCGUAGGUGGUGAUUUAAGUCAGCGGUGAAAGUUUGUGGCUCAACCAUAAAAUUGCCGUUGAAACUGGGUUACUUGAGUGUGUUUGAGGUAGGCGGAAUGCGUGGUGUAGCGGUGAAAUGCAUAGAUAUCACGCAGAACUCCGAUUGCGAAGGCAGCUUACUAAACCAUAACUGACACUGAAGCACGAAAGCGUGGGGAUCAAACAGGAUUAGAUACCCUGGUAGUCCACGCAGUAAACGAUGAUUACUAGGAGUUUGCGAUACAAUGUAAGCUCUACAGCGAAAGCGUUAAGUAAUCCACCUGGGGAGUACGCCGGCAACGGUGAAACUCAAAGGAAUUGACGGGGGCCCGCACAAGCGGAGGAACAUGUGGUUUAAUUCGAUGAUACGCGAGGAACCUUACCCGGGUUUGAACGUAGUCUGACCGGAGUGGAAACACUCUUUCUAGCAAUAGCAGAUUACGAGGUGCUGCAUGGUUGUCGUCAGCUCGUGCCGUGAGGUGUCGGCUUAAGUGCCAUAACGAGCGCAACCCUUAUCACUAGUUACUAACAGGUGAAGCUGAGGACUCUGGUGAGACUGCCAGCGUAAGCUGUGAGGAAGGUGGGGAUGACGUCAAAUCAGCACGGCCCUUACAUCCGGGGCGACACACGUGUUACAAUGGCAUGGACAAAGGGCAGCUACCUGGUGACAGGAUGCUAAUCUCCAAACCAUGUCUCAGUUCGGAUCGGAGUCUGCAACUCGACUCCGUGAAGCUGGAUUCGCUAGUAAUCGCGCAUCAGCCAUGGCGCGGUGAAUACGUUCCCGGGCCUUGUACACACCG
rnacentral:rRNA from 1 species